rnacentral:lncRNA from 10 species
GCCUUCCCAGCAAAAGCAGAACUCAAUGUUCUAGGUACAAUAUAAUGGAUGCAUGUAAAAUUCAUGUGCUGUCACAGUUCAUACGGAGUAUACAAGCUAGUGUAUACUUGGGUGGGAAGUCCUAAGCACAGAAUCUUUCUCAACCGCUUGAGGUAUCAUCAAAUCAUCUCAGCAUAGUGGAAGACACCAGCUCCCCCUUCACCUUCCGCCAUGAUUGUAAGCUUCCUGAGGCUCUCACCAAAAGCAGAUGCCGUCACCAUACUCCCUGUACAGCCUGCAGAACUAGGGCCAGGGUCUCACUCUGUCACCCAGGCCCGUGCAGUGGCACAAACAUGGCUCACUGCAUCACUGCAGCCUUGACCUCCUGGACUCAAGGGAUCCUCCCCACUCAGCCUCCCAAGUAACUGGACCCACAGGCAUACACCUCCAUGCUAAGCUAAUUUUUAAAAUUUUUGUAGAGACCAUGUCUUGCUAUGUUGCCCAGGCUGGUCUUAAACUCCUGGGCUCAGGCAAUCUUUCCACCUCAGCCUCCAAAAGUGCCGGAAUUAAAAACUUCAGGUGUCAACCAUCGC